rnacentral:tRNA from 1 species
GGGGCUGUAGCUCAGUUGGAUAGAGUAGCUGGCUACGAACCAGUUGGUCGGAGGUUCGAAUCCUUCCAGCCCCGCCA